ensembl:snRNA U6 U6 spliceosomal RNA
GCACUCCCUUCAGCAGCACAGAUACUAAAAUUGGAACCAUACAGAGAUUAGCAUGGCCCCUGCACAAGGACGACAGACAAAUCCAUGAAGCAGUCCAUAAAUAA